AAAUUAGAGUGUUCAAAGCAGGCAGACAUUAAUCUCUGCCACCGAAUACAUUAGCAUGGGAUAAUGGAAUAGGACCCUGUCCUCCUAUUUUCAGUUGGUUUUCGAGGACCAGGGUAAUGAUUAAUAGGGAUAGUUGGGGGCAUUAAUAUUUAAUUGUCAGAGGUGAAAUUCUUGGAUUUAUGAAAGAUUAACUUCUGCGAAAGCAUCUGCCAAGGAUGUUUUCAUUAAUCAAGAACGAAAGUUAGGGGAUCGAAGACGAUCAGAUACCGUCGUAGUCUUAACCAUAAACGAUGCCGACCAGCGAUUAGGAGACGUUGAAUACAAAACACCACCAUCAGGCGGGUCGUUCCUGGCCAGCUUCGCGCAAGCGGGGUUGGUGGGGGCGAUUCGUUUCCCUGAUGGCCCGGUGAA
rnacentral:rRNA from 1 species